AGACAGAGACAGACCAGAGACAGAGACAGACCAGAGACAGACCAGUGAUAGAGACAGCUCUGUGACACACACAUACUUGUCCCCUUUAGAAAGACAGCCCUUAUUGAGUCACCUCUGGUUUAAGGCUGAAUCUCUGUAGGCCCAACACAAGGCUGUGGGUUUCACCAGGGUUUGAUACUUAACCAAUCAUUAAUGGAGUUCUUCAGAAGCAGAAACCAAAUAUUUCUACUCUACGAUCAAAAGCCUUCAUCAAAUCCACCACAGUGGUGCAAUAGAGUAACAUACUUUAAUGAAAGGGCUCUUACUCAGACAAGACUAAACGGGUAAGCAAACCCACAACAACCCACUCUCACGGGACUUAAGAUCGGUUUUUAUUCCGGAGCUCUUUUUCACACCCAUUUUUGUUUUAAAAUCAAUGAUUAUACUGUCUGUAUGAGGGCACUUACACUAUAUAUACAAAAGUAUGUGGACACCCCUUCAAAUUAGUGGAUUUGACUAUUUCGGCCACACCCGUUGCUGACAGGUGUAUAAAAUCGAGCACACAGCCAUGCAAUCUCCAUAGACAAACAUUGGCAGUAGAAUGGUCUUACUGAAGAGCUCAUUGACUUUCAACGUGGCACCUUCAUGUGAUGCCACCUUUUCAACAAGUCAGUUCGUCAAAUUUCUGCCCUGCUAGAGCUGCCCCGGUCAACUGUAAGUGCUGUUAUUGUGAAGUGGAAACGUCUAGGAGCAACAACGGCUCAGCCGCGAAGUGGUAGGCCACACAAGCUCACAGAACGGGAACAUCGAGUGCAGCAGCGCAAAGAGAGUAAAAAUCCACAUCUCACUACUGAGUUCCAAACUGCCUCUGGAAGCAACAUCAGCACAAGAACUGUUAGUCAGGGACUUCAGCAGUGUCUCACACAAGCCUAAGAUCACCGUGCGUAACGCCAAACAUCGUCUGGAGUGGUGGAAAGCUCACCGACAUUGGACUCUGGAGCAGUGGAAACGUGUUCUCUGGAGUGAUGAAUCACGCUUCACCAUCUGGCAGUACGACGGACGGAUCUGGAAUUGAAAUGCAGACUACGAGCCAGGCCUAAUCGCCCAACAUCAGUGCCUGACCUCACUAAUGCUCUUGUGGCUGAAUGGAAACAAGUCCCGACAGCAAUGUUCCAUCAUCUAGUGGAAAGCCUUCCCAGCAGAGUGGAGGCUGUUAUAGCAGCAAAGGGGGACCAACUCCAUAUUAAUGCCCAUGAUUUUGGAAUGAGAUGUUAGACGAGGAGGUGUCCACAUGCUUUUGUUCAUGUAGUGUGUCAUGCCUUGAUCUUUGUCUUUACUCUGACUAAUGUUUUGAACCUGGGACAUGGCAGGUAUUGUGUUUACCAGCUUGGAUUCUGUCAACAUUUAUCUAUGUCUGGCUAAGCCAAACAAAUCAGCAGAAAACACUAACUGGCCUGCUAAGGCCUGACCUGGCCUACAGUCAGCGGAAAACACAACUGGCCUGCCAAGGCCUGACCUGGCCUACAGUCAGUAACGCUGUUCAAAUUCUGCUGGGUUUAGUCAUAAACCAACCAGCAGGCUCAAUACUCUAACACACUGAGUGACACUGUUGGAAUGGACUGCUAAUGAUGACUUGAAACAUAAAUACAGAAGAUAGAUUUAAAAAGAGAGAGGAGAGAGAAAAUCGAUUAGAAAGAGAGCGAAAGACAGAAGAUAGAUCAGAAAGAGAGAGAAGAUAUAUCAGAAAGCGAGAGAAGCAGGGAUUGUGUAGCUAGCAAUUAAUAAAAAAUAAUGAUCAGGCCUAAUUACUUCCCUUUGUUUUUGUUAGUAUUUUUCAUUUUGUUCAUAUUUAACGGUAUAAUGGCGUGAUUAAAAUUGCAGACGUGCCGUAAUUAAUAGCAAACACUGCUUGUGGUGGUGUGCCUUCAUUUGUUCAUUUGUGUGUGUGUGUGUGUGUGUGUGUGUGUGUGUGUGUGUGCACCCGUGGAAAGAGUCUGAGGUGUAAAAGAUAGAUUGUUUAUGUCACACAGACAGAGAUGAAAAGAGACAAAGGUUGCUCACAGGCCAAGCUACCAUCAGGUCAAGAAAACUCAGCUGCCAGUGAGAAUGAAAGAAAGAGAGAGAGAAAGAAAGGCCUCUAUUUCAACUAACCUAACGCAAUGGUAAAUCUAAGCGCAGGCGGUAAUGUUAUAUAGGUUCAAGGAUGCAUCAGAAUUGUUGUUUUUUUGUUGCUAUUUUUAGUAUCACAUGUAUCGGUGCACGUGUUGACGUUGGUGAAAUUAAUAAACAACUUUGAAGAAUA
ensembl:lncRNA